UGUCUAGGGGCUCAAACCUAAAGAACCCAAAUAUCUAAACGGAGAAAUUCAAUACUACCCCAUCCGUAGUGUGCACUUUUCUCUUAGUAAGACGCCGUGAUCCAUUAGAAAUUGAUGCAUACAAAAUGUAUAUUGGGUCAUCAAUAGGCCAGUAUGAAGUUUAUUGGAACAAAUGGCGUGAUCUUAUACGGUCGCGUGUAUUGUCUGGUAAGCAUACUGUGUCCUGUAAUGACUGUCUGAUGGAUUUUAAAGGUGAUAUCAAUGAUGUUACGGCAUCACUUAUCUUUGAUAAGAGUACGAUAUCUAUCUGAUCAACGGUGGUUAAAUUUGGGAUACCUUUUGGACCCGUCUUGAAACACGGACCAAGGAGUCUAUCUAGUAUGCGAGUAAAUGGAUAGUUUAUGAAAUCUAUUUGCAUAAUAAACUUGACUGUUUUAAUGGGAUUACGAGAUUAGAUACUUAAUGGUGUUUGUCUCUUCCAUCCCGGGGUAUUUUCAUCAACAUAUGCUUGCAUAUGGAAAAUAUACCAUGAGCACACUGGAUACGACCCGAAAGAUGGUGAACUAUGCCUGAUCAGGUCGAAGUCAGGGGAAACCCUGAUGGAGGACCGAAGCAGUUCUGACGUGCAAAUCGAUUGUCAGAAUUGGGCAUAGGGGCGAAAGACCAAUCGAACCAUC
rnacentral:rRNA from 1 species